AAAUAUAUGCUUUAAACUAUCUAUUUUUUCUUCAAUAAGGUCUAACCUUUUUAGCCUGAUUGGAUAACGAUUUGGAAUCAAGAAAGACCUAUUUAAGGAGAUGGUCUCCUAGGAUUUUAUUAUUAUCGAAUUUUAAGAAUUUAAAACUCCUCCUCUCUCUUCUCCAUGCCCCACCCUCUCUUUCUCUUCUCUUUCCCACACCCA
rnacentral:lncRNA from 1 species